AGUGAGCGCUGGCGGUAGGCCUAACACAUGCAAGUCGAACGGCAGCACAGUAAGGGCUUGCUCUUACGGGUGGCGAGUGGCGGACGGGUGAGGAAUACAUCGGAAUCUACUUUUUCGUGGGGGAUAACGUAGGGAAACUUACGCUAAUACCGCAUACGACCUACGGGUGAAAGCAGGGGAUCUUCGGACCUUGCGCGAUUGAAUGAGCCGAUGUCGGAUUAGCUAGUUGGCGGGGUAAAGGCCCACCAAGGCGACGAUCCGUAGCUGGUCUGAGAGGAUGAUCAGCCACACUGGAACUGAGACACGGUCCAGACUCCUACGGGAGGCAGCAGUGGGGAAUAUUGGACAAUGGGCGCAAGCCUGAUCCAGCCAUACCGCGUGGGUGAAGAAGGCCUUCGGGUUGUAAAGCCCUUUUGUUGGGAAAGAAAAGCAGCAGGUUAAUACCCCGCUGUUCUGACGGUACCCAAAGAAUAAGCACCGGCUAACUUCGUG
rnacentral:rRNA from 1 species